GCCCCCUUAGCUCAGCUGGAUAGAGCGCGGGCUUCCUAAGCCCGGCGUCACAGGUUCGAGUCCUGUAGGGGGUACCA
rnacentral:tRNA from 1 species